UACGUAGGGGGCGAGCGUUGUCCGGAAUUAUUGGGCGUAAAGCGCGUGCAGGCGGUUUUUUAAGUCUGUGGUGAAAGACCGGGGCUCAACCCCGGAGUGUCCAUGGAGACUGGAAGACUGGAGUGUCGGAGAGGAGUGCGGAAUCCCUGGUGUAGCGGUGGAAUGCGUAGAGAUCAGGGGGAACACCGAUGGCGAAGGCAGCACUCUGGCCGAAUACUGACGCUGAGACGCGAAAGCGUGGGGAGCGAACGGG
rnacentral:rRNA from 1 species